UACGUAGGGGGCGAGCGUUGUCCGGAGUUACUGGGCGUAAAGCGCAGCGCAGGCGGUCUGUUAAGUUUGGAGUGACAGUUGGUGGCUUAACUGCCAAAGUGCUUCGAAAACUGACAGACUUGAGGGCUUCAGAGGGACACGGAAUCCGGGUGGAGUGGUGAAAUGCGUAGAGAUCCGGAGGAACACCAAAGGCGAAGGCAGUGUCCUGGGGAGUACCUGACGCUCGAGGUGCGAAAGCCAGGGGAGCGAUCCGG
rnacentral:rRNA from 1 species